CCUCAAGGAAGCGUCCUAGGUCCAAACACGGCGAACAUACCAACAACUGCCAAUAGCACAGUACUGACAUUCGCGGACGACACAGCUAUACUAGUCAGGCAUAUGAACCCAGAAACGGCAGUCAAAUUACUACAAGAACAUAUCACAAAAAUAGAAAAGUGGCUACAAGAAAAACAAAUAAAAGCAAACCCCAAUAAAUGCAACCAUAUUACAUUCACGCUACGAAAAAAGAUACCACCAAGCAUCCUUCUGAACGGCACGAAUAUAACACAAACAAAGCAUGUCAAAUACCUAGGACUCCACUUAGAUACACAACUCACAUGGAAACUACAUACUAAAUCAAUAAUAGAAAAAAUACAGAAAACAAGGAGACAAAUGCAUUGGCUAACAAGCCGAAAAUCCAAAUUAAGCAUUGAAAAUAAAUUAAAAAUAUAUAAAACGAUCAUAAAACCAAUCUGGACGUACGGAAUACCACUAUGGCGGACAGCAGCAGUGAGCCAUAUAAACAAAAUAGAGGUAAUACAGGCUAAAAUCCUCAGAAC
rnacentral:misc_RNA from 1 species